rnacentral:rRNA from 1 species
GAUGAACGCUAGCGGCAGGCUUAAUACAUGCAAGUCGAGGGGCAGCAUGGUUGUAGCAAUACAACUGAUGGCGACCGGCAAACGGGUGCGGAACACGUACGCAAUCUACCCAAAACUGAUGAAUAGCCCUCCGAAAGGAGGAUUAAUACAUCGUAACUUAAUGAAGUGGCAUCACUUUAUUAAUAUAGCUCCGGCGGUUUUGGAUGAGCGUGCGCCUGAUUAGGUAGUUGGCGGGGUAACGGCCCACCAAGCCUGCGAUCAGUAACUGGUGUGAGAGCACGACCAGUCAC